UCUUGGUCAUUUAGAGGAAGUAAAAGUCGUAACAAGGUUUCCGUAGGUGAACCUGCGGAAGGAUCAUUACCUAGAGUUGUAGGCUUUGCCUGCUAUCUCUUACCCAUGUCUUUUGAGUACCUUACGUUUCCUCGGCGGGUCCGCCCGCCGAUUGGACACUUUAAACCAUUUGCAGUUGCAAUCAGCGUCUGAAAAAACUUAAUAGUUACAACUUUCAACAACGGAUCUCUUGGUUCUGGCAUCGAUGAAGAACGCAGCGAAAUGCGAUAAGUAGUGUGAAUUGCAGAAUUCAGUGAAUCAUCGAAUCUUUGAACGCACAUUGCGCCCCUUGGUAUUCCAUGGGGCAUGCCUGUUCGAGCGUCAUUUGUACCUUCAAGCUUUGCUUGGUGUUGGGUGUUUGUCUCGCCUCUGCGUGUAGACUCGCCUCAAAACAAUUGGCAGCCGGCGUAUUGAUUUCGGAGCGCAGUACAUCUCGCGCUUUGCACUCAUAACGACGACGUCCAAAAGUACAUUUUUACACUCUUGACCUCGGAUCAGGUAGGGAUACCCGCUGAACUUAAGCAUAUCAAUAAGCGG
rnacentral:rRNA from 1 species